AUGGAUGGAAAUCAAAAAGGAGAUAAGGGUCUCGCCCAGGUGGCUCCCGCAAGACCCGUCGAUAAGCUAAGGCUACGACAUGAAGGAAGGCCAGAAGAACUACAGAACCACGCCCACCAGAGCGAAAGGAGACCGAAGGGACUUGCGGGAGGUGAAGGUCGCUGGCUUGCCCGUGGGCCGUGGUAUCUGACGGGACAUUGGCCUCCCUCCCGCUACGGCUCGCUGUACGUUCCUUUAGCUAUAGGCGUGUCCAAUCUGAGAAUAGUCCAUUCCACAUAG